GAUGAACGCUGGCGGCGUGCCUAAUACAUGCAAGUCGAGCGAACAGACGAGGAGCUUGCUCCUCUGACGUUAGCGGCGGACGGGUGAGUAACACGUGGAUAACCUACCUAUAGGACUGGGAUAACUUCGGGAAACCGGAGCUAAUACCGGAUAAUAUAUUGAACCGUAUGGUUCAAUAGUGAAAGACGGUUUUGCUGUCACUUAUAGAUGGAUCCGCGCCGCAUUAGCUAGUUGGUAAGGUAACGGCUUACCAAGGCAACGAUGCGUAGCCGACCUGAGAGGUUGAUCGGCCACACUGGAACUGAGACACGGUCCAGACUCCUACGGGAGGCAGCAGCAGGGAAUCUUCCGCAAUGGGCGAAAGCCUGACGGAGCAACGCCGCGUGAGUGAUGAAGGUCUUCGGAUCGUAAAACUCUGUUAUUAGGGAAGAACAAAUGUGUAAGUAACUAUGCACGUCUUGACGGUACCUAAUCAGAAAGCCACGGCUAGCUACGUG
rnacentral:rRNA from 1 species